rnacentral:rRNA from 1 species
CCCUUAGAUGUCCUGGGCUGCACGCGCGCUACACUGAUGUGUCCAGUAAGCACCUAACCUCUUCCGAAAGGAACGGGUAACCUUUGCAAAGCACAUCGUGAUGGGGAUAGAUUAUUGCAAUUAUUAGUCUUGAACGAGGAAUUCAUAGUAAGCACAAGUCAUCAGCUUGUGUUGAUUACGUCCCUGCCCUUUGUACACACCGCCCGUCGCUCCUACCGAUUGAAUGUUCCGGUGAGCUCUUCGGACUGCGCGGUCUGCAGUUUCUGCGUUCCGUGCGGAAAGUUGCGCAAACCUUAACAUUUAGAGGAAGGAGAAGUCGUAACA